GAGAAUGUAGCACAGAUAGGUUAGCGCACUGGCCUGUCAAGUCAGAGGUCGCGGGUUCAAGUCCCGUCAUUCUCG
rnacentral:tRNA from 1 species